rnacentral:sRNA from 1 species
AAAGAAAGCUGUGAAAACAGUGAAGAAAAAAGACAAAGGAAAAUCUGAGGAUUCAGAAAAGAAGAUGUCUCCAGAAAAAGAGUUUAAAAUAAAAGAAGAUUUGGAUCAAGUACAGGUAACUCUCUCUAUGCAUCAAUAUUUGAUUAAUACUUGCUCUGAUAGUCAUAUAUAGAGAAACAUUAUUACGUAUGUGAUUAUAGGGUAUAUAUGUCUGUGUGUGUGUAUGUGUCUCUGUGUGUGUGU